rnacentral:rRNA from 1 species
GACGAACGCUGGCGGCGUGCUUAACACAUGCAAGUCGAACGGAGAGGCCCUGCUUUCGUGGGGUGCUCGAGUGGCGAACGGGUGAGUAACACGUGAGUAACCUGCCCUUGACUUUGGGAUAACUUCAGGAAACUGGGGCUAAUACCGGAUAGGAGCUCCUGCUGCAUGGUGGGGGUUGGAAAGUUUCGGCGGUUGGGGAUGGACUCGCGGCUUAUCAGCUUGUUGGUGGGGUAGUGGCUUACCAAGGCUUUGACGGGUAGCCGGCCUGAGAGGGUGACCGGCCACAUUGGGACUGAGAUACGGCCCAGACUCCUACGGGAGGCAGCAGUGGGGAAUAUUGCACAAUGGGCGGAAGCCUGAUGCAGCAACGCCGCGUGCGGGAUGACGGCCUUCGGGUUGUAAACCGCUUUCGCCUGUGACGAAGCGUGAGUGACGGUAAUGGGUAAAGAAGCACCGGCUAACUACGUG